rnacentral:rRNA from 1 species
AUAAGCAUAUCAAUAAGCGGAGGAAAAGAAACCAACAGGGAUUGCCCCAGUAACGGCGAGUGAAGCGGCAACAGCUCAAAUUUGAAAUCUGGCUCCUUCGGGGUCCGAGUUGUAAUUUGCAGAGGGUGCUUUGGCGUCGGCCGUGGUCUAAGUUCCUUGGAACAGGACGUCACAGAGGGUGAGAAUCCCGUACGUGGCCGCCGGCCUUCGCCGUGUAAAGCCCCUUCGACGAGUCGAGUUGUUUGGGAAUGCAGCUCUAAAUGGGAGAUAAAUUUCUUCUAAAGCUAAAUAUUGGCCAGAGACCGAUAGCGCACAAGUAGAGUGAUCGAAAGAUGAAAAGCACUUUGGAAAGAGAGUCAAAAAGCACGUGAAAUUGUUGAAAGGGAAGCGCUUGCAGCCAGACGUGCCCGCAGUUGCUCACCCGGGCUCUCGCCCGGGGCACUCUUCUGCGGGCAGGCCAGCAUCAGUUCGGGCGGUUGGAUAAAGGCCUCUGUCACGUACCGCCCUCUCGGGGGCGGCCUUAUAGGGGAGGCGCAACACGACCAGCCCGAACUGAGGACCGCGCAUUAUGCUAGGAUGCUGGCGUAAUGGCUGUAAGCGGCCCGUCUUGAAACACGGACCAAGGAGUCUAACAUCUAUGCGAGUGUUUGGGUGUCAAGCCCGGGCGCGCAAUGAAAGUGAACGGAGGUGGGAACCCCUCGGGGCGCACCAUCGACCGAUCCUGAAGUCUUCGGAUGGAUUUGAGUAAGAGCAUAGCUGUUGGGACCCGAAAGAUGGUGAACUAUGCCUGAAUAGGGUGAAGCCAGGGGAAACCCUGGUGGAGGCUCGCAGCGGUUCUGACGUGCAAAUCGAUCGUCAAAUUUGGGCAUA